GCGGUGGAGCCUGGAGGGGCGGGCCAGGGUCCCACCGUGACCCGCCUGGAGGGCAGCCCAGCUCUGGGACGCGAAACCCCCUACGACGGUGCCGCAGUUCCAAGAGCCUCUGAGUUCCUGUCUUUUUUCAUCUCUGAAUCCCCACCAUUGGCCUACAUUGGGAAUGGGGCGACCUGUGAUGCUGACGUUAGAGGACAAGGACAUGAAGGGAUUCUCCUGGGCCAUAGUCCCAGCCUUAACCUCCCUAGGCUACCUGCUUAUACUGGUGGUCUCCAUCUUUCCCUUCUGGGUGCGACUGACGAACGAGGAGUCCCAUGAAGUCUUUUUCAGUGGCCUAUUUGAGAACUGCUUCUAUGUCAAAUGCUGGAAGCCUCGACCCUUGUCCAGAUCUCGCUUUGUCACCCAGGCUGGUGUGAUCAUAGCUCACUGCAGCCUCCAACUCUUGAGUUCAAGUGAUCCUCCCACCUUAGCCUCCUGAGUAG
rnacentral:sRNA from 1 species